rnacentral:lncRNA from 1 species
UAGAGUGUUGGUUAGUACAGAAUGGGAGCAACACUUUCUCUUAGCCACGGUUGAUGCCUUGAGCAGGGAGAUUUCAGACCGUACACCAUUGCUUCUAAACACUGGACAGGAAAAUCAGACCAAGAAGCAACCCUUGUUUAAAUUUGAACUGGGGUGGCUCUUAAGGGAAGAUUUCUUUGAUCUAGUAUCAGAGGUAUGGAACAAUGAAAGGAAGAGCUCCACUCCUCUGCAAAAAUGGCAAAAUAAGAUCAAGAGACUAAGACAGUUCCUGAGAGGAUGGGUAAAAAACAUGAAUGGGGCGUAUAAAAAAGAAAAAUAAAAGCUUCUUAAAAAGCAAAUGAGUUAGAUAAAAAGGCGGAAUCACAGCUAAUAAGUCAGCAAGAGAUAGAUUUAAAGCAAAGCAUCGAGGAUAGGCUGGUGCAACUUAUGAGAAAAGAAGAAAUCAAAUGAUUUCAAAGAGCAAAAAGCACUAAGUUGUUGAAGGGGGAUAGUAACAUCAAGUAUUUCCAUAUGAUAGCAAAUGGCAUGCAUCGAAAAACUAGAAUUUUCCGUCUUGAGCAGGAAGAGGGGGUUAUUGAAGGGGGUGAGAAUUUUAAAAAAUACAUAACAAAGUAUUAUAAAGGUCUAUUUGGUUCCCAAAAGAGAAACAAUUGUUCUAUGAACGAAUCCAUGACAGAGAAUAUUCCUCAAAUGUCAAGGGAGAAAAAUGAGAUAUUAACUGAAAGAUAUACGGAAAAGGAAGCUAGAGACGCCAUUUUUCAGAUGAAUCACAAUAAAGCUCCGUGACCUGAUGGAUUCCUAGUAGAGUUCUACAAGUGUUUUGGAGUCUUAUUAAGAAUGACCUAAUGGCCAUGUUUAAAGAGUUCCAUAACUGCAAGCUCCCUCUAUAUAGCUUAAAUUUUAGGAUUCUAACUUUAAUCCCAAAACUUAAGGAGGUUAAAAUGAUACAGCAAUACAGGCCAAUUUGCAUGCUAAAUGUUAGCUUCAAAAUCUUUACAAAAGUGAUAGCUAAUAGAUUGAGCAUGGUGGCCAUCGCAAAUGGCCUUUCUACCUGGAAGAUAUAUUAUGGAGGGGGUGGUCAUCUUACAUGAAACUAUCCAUGAACUGCGUAAAAACAUAGUGGAUUAUACUCAAACUAGAUUUUGAGAAAGCAUAUGAUAAAGUUAAUUGGACAUUCUUGCAAUAGGUUUUAAGAAUGAAGGUGUUUUCUUCAACGUGGUGUAAUUGGAUUGAAAUCAUAGUGAGUGGGGGAAGUGUGGGGGUUAAAGUAAAUGAUGACAUUGGACAUAAAAAAAAGGUUCGAGGCAGGGGGACCCUUUAUCUCCGGUUUUGUUUAAUGUGGUAGCAGAUAUGUUAGCUAUUCUUAUUUCAAGGGCUAGAGAUAAUGAUCAAAUUAAGAGCCUAGUGCCACAUCUAAUAGAUGGAGGAUUAUCAAUUCUCUAGUGCGCAGAUGAUACAAUACUCUUUAUGGAAAAUGAUCUAGAGCAUGCCAAAAACUUGAAGCUGGUACUAUGUACCUUUAAGAAGUUCUCAGGCCUUAAGAUUAAUUUCCAUAAGAGUGAGUUGUUAUGUUUCGGGGAGGCAAAAGAUAUAGUGGGAGACUAUGUGCAGAUUUUUGGCUACCAGGAAGGAUCUCUCCCCUUUAAAUAUCUGGGCAUCCCUAUAAACCACCAUAAAAUCUCAAAUAAAGAUUGAAAUAUGAUUGAAGAAAGAUUCCGGAAAAAAUUAGGAAGCUGGAAAAGCAAAUUGUUGUCAGUAGGAGGAAGUGCUUAUAAACUCUGUCCUCUCGAGCCUACCAAUGUUUAUGAUAUCCUUUUUUAGAAUACCUAAAGGGGUUUUUAAAAGAUUAGACUACUAUAGAUCUAGAUUCUUUUGGCAGUGUGAUGAGCAUAAGAAGUACUACAUACUAGCUAAAUGGAGCAUCCUUUGUGUACCAAAGAAUAUGGACGGCCUAGGUAUUACUAAUUUGGAAGUUCAAAAUAGAUGCCUGCUAAGCAAGUGGCUAUUUAAACUUCUGAAUGAGGAGGGAAUGUGGCAAAGUUUGCUAAGAAGCAAAUAUUUGACUAAUAAGACACUAACUCAAGUAUCAAAGAAGCCGGGUGACUCACAAUUUUGGGCUGACCUCAUGGAAAUAAAGGAUCAAUUCCUGUCAAUGGGCAAGUUUGAAGUACAUAAUGGGAAAUAAACUAGAUUUUGGGAAGAUGUAUGAGUUGGAAAUGAAACUUUGAUGAAAAGAUUCCCAUCCUUUUAUAACAUAGUUAGAAAGAAAAAUGAAAUGGUUGCCCAAGUUUGUAGCAAUAUCCCCCUGAAUGUAUCAUUUAGAAGGGCAUUGACAGGAGACAAACUGAAUAAAUGGGUGGCUGAAGUGGCAGAAUAUAGGCUAAAUGACCAAAAAAAUAUUUUCCUUUGGAAGCUAAAUAAAAAUAAGGAAUUCACAGUGAAAUCAAUGUACAAAGUGAUAAUGCAACAUGAAGGAACACCAUCUUUGUGUGCAUCCUGGAAAAUAAAAGUUCCUCUCAAGAACAAAGUGUUCAUGUGGUAUUUGAAAAAAGGUGUUAUCCUAACAAAGGAUAAUCUUGCCAAAAGAAGAUGGGAAGAAAGUACCAAGUGUUGUUUCUGUGACUCUGAGGAGACUAUACAAUAUUUGUUUUUCAACUGUCAUUUGGCAAGGUUCAUUUGGAAUGCUGUGUAUCUCUCUUUUGGAAUUCAACCGCCGACUAGUGUGUAUAAUUUGUUAGGAUCUUGGCUUAGAGGGUUCUCCUGGCAGGUUAGAAAACAAAUGCUGAUAGGCGCCUCAGCUCUUUGCUAGGCAAUCUAGUUGAAUAGAAAUGAGGUAGUCUUCAGAAGAACCAUCCCUAACUUGUUUUUGCAGGUGAUUUUCAAGGUGAUUUACUGGACAAGAACAUGAGCGAUGCUAUCUAAAGAGGAAGAGAAAAUUACUUUGAAGGAGAAUUGCCGCCGCAAGCUGGAAGCUACUAUAUUGGACUUCUUGAACAAGUAUGGAUGGAAUUUCAGGAGUAGACUUCAAGCAUAGCGUGCCCAGUCUAAUGGGGUUCUGAAUUUCGUCUCAAAGGGGUCUUUCCUGACGACUGGUUGCCGAAGGUUGCCAUCA